rnacentral:rRNA from 1 species
AACGAACGCUGGCGGCAGGCUUAACACAUGCAAGUCGAACGCCCCGCAAGGGGAGUGGCAGACGGGUGAGUAACGCGUGGGAACAUACCCUUUCCUGCGGAAUAGCUCUGGGAAACUGGCAUUAAUACCGCAUACGCCCUACGGGGGAAAGAUUUAUGCGGGGAAGGAUUGGCCCGCGUUGGAUUAGCUAGUUGGUGGGGUAAAGGCCUACCAAGGCGACGAUCCAUAGCUGGUCUGAGAGGAUGAUCAGCCACAUGGGGACUGAGACACGGCCCAAACUCCUACGGGAGGCAGCAGUGGGGAAUAUUGGAAAAUGGGCGCAAGCCUGAUCCAGCCAUGCCGCGUGAGUGAUGAAGGCCUUAGGGUCGUAAAGCUCUUUCACCGAUGAAGAUAAUGACGGUAGUCGGAGAAGAAGCCCCGGCUAACUUCGUGCCAGCCGCCGCCGUAACAC